GGGUCGGUACCAAAGUGGUUAACUGGGCGUGACUGUAAAUCACGUGGUUUUAUACCUACGCAGGUUCGAAUCCUGCCCGGCCCACCA
rnacentral:tRNA from 1 species